rnacentral:rRNA from 1 species
ACACUCCUGCGGGAGGCAGCAGUGGGGAAUAUUGCACAAUGGGCGCAAGCCUGAUGCAGCCAUGCCGCGUGUAUGAAGAAGGCCUUCGGGUUGUAAAGUACUUUCAGCGGGGAGGAAGGCAAUACGGUUAAUAACCGUGUUGAUUGACGUUACCCGCAGAAGAAGCACCGGCUAACUCCGUGCCAGCAGCCGCGGUAAUACGGAGGGUGCAAGCGUUAAUCGGAAUUACUGGGCGUAAAGCGCACGCAGGCGGUCUGUCAAGUCGGAUGUGAAAUCCCCGGGCUCAACCUGGGAACUGCAUUCGAAACUGGCAGGCUUGAGUCUUGUAGAGGGGGGUAGAAUUCCAGGUGUAGCGGUGAAAUGCGUAGAGAUCUGGAGGAAUACCGGUGGCGAAGGCGGCCCCCUGGACAAAGACUGACGCUCAGGUGCGAAAGCGUGGGGAGCAAACAGGAUUAGAAACCCUAGUAGUCCCAUG